UUGUCCAACCCUACGUAGGUGAAAGUCUCUAUUGCUCACUUGGUCAGUAAGACAUGAGUCUCUUUAUUAUAUACUCCAUUUGAAAAGUCUAGAAUUUAAAUGUUAGCUGUGAUAAUUCCAGCUAUGCAUAAGUUUCUGAC